UACGUAGGUGGCAAGCGUUGUCCGGAUUUAUUGGGCGUAAAGCGAGCGCAGGCGGUUCCUUAAGUCUGAUGUGAAAGCCCACGGCUCAACCGUGGAAGGUCAUUGGAAACUGGGGAACUUGAGUGCAGAAGAGGAGAGUGGAAUUCCAUGUGUAGCGGUGAAAUGCGUAGAUAUAUGGAGGAACACCAGUGGCGAAGGCGACUAUCUGGUCUGUAACUGACGCUGAGGCUCGAAAGCGUGGGGAGCAAACAGGAUUAGA
rnacentral:rRNA from 1 species